GGGAAGCUCCCGCCCUACCUGAGCAAAAUGCUCUCCUCUGCUGUUCCCACCUCCUAUAACCUCCGAUCCAGUACAAGCACUUUACUUAGUCUACCUCAAUACAAAAAGAAAGCGACUCGAUCCUCCUUCUCCUACAGAGCGCCCCAAUUGUGGAAUGACCUCCUGCACACUUUAAAAUCUUCCCCCAAGCCUAAAGUCCUUUAAGAGAUCCCUCUCCACAUACCCCAAAACAGAAUGCAC